rnacentral:rRNA from 1 species
AUUGAACGCUGGCGGCAUGCCUUACACAUGCAAGUCGAACGGUAACGGGCCUUCGGGUGCCGACGAGUGGCGGACGGGGGCGGAAUACAUCGGAACGUGCCCGAUCGUGGGGGAUAACGAGGCGAAAGCUUUGCUAAUACCGCAUACGAUCUACGGAUGAAAGCAGGGGACCGCAAGGCCUUGCGCGGACGGAGCGGCCGAUGGCAGAUUAGGUAGUUGGUGGGAUAAAAGCUUACCAAGCCGACGAUCUGUAGCUGGUCUGAGAGGAUGAUCAGCCACACUGGGACUGAGACACGGCCCAGACUCCUACGGGAGGCAGCAGUGGGGAAUUUUGGACAAUGGGCGCAAGCCUGAUCCAGCCAUGCCGCGUGCAGGAUGAAGGCCUUCGGGUUGUAAACUGCUUUUGUACGGAACGAAAAGCCUUCUUUUAAUACAGGAGGGUCAUGACGGUACCGUAAGAAUAAGCACCGGCUAACUACGUG